ACCCAGACUCGAGCAGGUAGCAACAAACGCAGUCCUUAAUGAAAAUAAACUUUAUUCAAGCAGCUGGGAAUUGACCCAUUCCCAGCGUCAUGAAACUCAAAAGAAAGCAAAGGCUUCUCACACAAAACAGUCUGUCAUUAUUUCCAACCUGGUCCAAUUUAGAUAAUUGCCAAAGUCCUUUGCAGAUAAGAGUCUCGAGCAGAGAAUGGAGAGCUGCCAAGGUCUUCUCAGAGAAACAUCCAGAGCAGAGAAUGGGACGAGCGCAGCUCCAACGUUGUUUUCUGGGAAACUGAGACACCGAUGCCUGUCUCCUUUUAAACCUUAUGGGAGGGCCAUAAGGUUCCCCUCGCACAUAUGUUCUAGUCGUUCCCGACUCUAAGAGGCGCUGCUCAUCUCCGUUUCUAAGCCGAAGAGCCAGCACUGUCCGAAGACGUCUCCGUGGUCAUGUGGCCGGCAUGACUAAACGCCAAAGGCGCAUGGAACACUGUUCCCUUCCCACCAAAGCUGACGUUGGAGCAAAAUAACUAGGAGGAAGAGGCGGAAAUGCAACCCACGUUACUCCUUAAGCCCCGAGUGGAUUCUUCAGAUGUUCACUGUUCACAUCAGUGGCUUGUUUUUCUCUCCUAGCCAGAAGACAAAUGUGCAGGGCUAGCGGUCUAAAGGAGGCAUCAGCGACAAUGCACGUGAUGAAGUCUUUCGCCAGGCAGCAGUGAGACCAAAUAAGCUUUUUCAACAUCACGAGCGUGUUGCUGUGGGCCGCUUUGACAGGCAGAGAAUGCGAUGCGCCUGGCGCGCCACUCAGGAGCAGCAGGGCUGGGCAGAGGCAUUAGUUCCACGACUCUUUUCUUUAAACUGCUGUUCAAGAAGCCUGUCUAAACCUCCAGUAGAUUAAAAAUAAAAAUAAUAAUAAUAAAAAAUCCCUCAGUUUGAAAAUGAUUGCCAGGCAUCAUAUUUAUUCUGGCAGCUUUGUUCUGUUGCACAACACAAGAAGCAGAUUGGUUACUUCCUCAAAUGUCUUCUUCAGUCUGAAUGCACUUUCUGGAUGGGAAGCAGAUGGGCCAGGAUUACAUUUCACUAUCUGUCAGAUGCCAGAAGCCGACUGAGAUUUUACUCUCAAGAAUCAGGUGGGUUGUCCUUGAUGAGAUCGGGCGAAUAACGAUCAGUCGCCUUCUCUGCAUCGCUUCUCCCCAGUCAGAGGUCCUCCAGGUGUGUUGGACUCCCACCAUGUUAAGUACAGAAUAGAAUAGAAUAGAAUAGAAUUUUUUAUUGGCCAAGUGUGAUUGGACACACAAGGAAUUUGUCUUGGUGCAGAUGCUCUCAGUGUACAUAAAAGAAAAGAUACGUUCAUCAAGGUACAACAUUUACAACACAAUUGAUGGUCAAUAUAUCAAUAUAAAUCAUAAGGAUUGCCAGCAACAAGUUAUAGUCAUACAGUCAUAAGUGGAAAGAGAUUGGCGAUGGGAACUAUGAAACGAUUAAUAGUAGUGCAGAUUCAGUAAAUAGUCUGACAGUGUUGAGGGAAUUAUUUGUUUAGCAGAGUGAUGGCCUUCGGGAAAAAACUGUUCUUGUGUCUAGUUGUUCUGGUGUGCAGUGCUCUAUAGCGUCGUUUUGAGGGUAGGAGUUGAAACAGUUUAUGUCCAGGAUGCGAGGGAUCUGCAAAUAUUUUCACGGCCCUCUUCUUGAUUCGUGCAGUAUACAGGUCCUCAAUGGAAGGCAGGUUGGUAGCAAUUAUUUUUUCUGCAGUUCUAAUUAUCCUCUGAAGUCUGUGUUUUUCUUGUUGGGUUGCAGAACCGAACCAGACAGUUAUAGAGGUGCAAAUGACAGGUGAUGGACUUGGCAGUCAGACACAUCUGGAAGCACUUGGGGGAAGGAAAGGCUGCCUGGGCUGACCACAUGAAGAUCUUGUAAAAAGCACAAGCCGUGUUCACACAAUUAUGCUUGACCUCACCCGGGGCCUCAAGAGGACCACUUUCGAGCAAAGAUACAGGAGUAAAGUUCUUCACAACUGUAAUGGCAGCUUCCAUACAAUGGGAAGUGGGUAGGAAUAAUCCAAAUUCAUCAUCUCCAUCUUUUUUUCAUUCCCUUCUUGCAGAUUGCAAUAGCACUUAGACUUAUAUACCGCUUCAUAGUGCUUUUACAGCCCUCUCUAAACUGUUUACAGAGUCAGCAUUUUCCCCCCAACAAUCCUGAGUCUUUAUUUUACCAACUUCAGAAGGACGGAAGGCUGAGUCAACCUUGAGCCAGUCAGGGGUUGAACUGCUGGCAGUGAGCAGAGUUAGCCUGCAAUAUUGCAUUCUAACCACUGCACACCAUGGAAGGAAGGAAGGAAGGAAGGAAGGAAGGAAGGAAGGAAGGAAGGAAGGAAGGAAGGAAGGAAGGAAGGAAGGAAGGAAGGAAGGGACAACAGCAAUACUACCUAGACUUAUAUACCACUUCACAGUGCUUUUACAGCCCUCUCUAAGCGGUUUACAGAGUCGGCAUAUUGCCCCCAAUAAUCUGGCUCCUCAUUUUAUCCGCCUCGGGAGGAUGGAAGGCUGAGUCAACCUUGAGCCUGGAGAGAUUCGAUUUGCCAAAUUGCAGGCAGCCGGCAGGCAGCAGAAGUAGCCUGCAGUACUGCACUCUGACCACUGCGCCACCACGGCUCUUGAUUUUAUCUGUUUUAUUUCUGUAAAUAAACGAAUGAUAAUAAUAAUAAUGCUCAUCGGUUUUAAGAACAUAAUCUUCAUCCCCCAUAAGAAAGCAUUCUUGUGUAACCUUCAACCUUCCAUAGUUUUGGAGAGGAUGAUCAAAGGACUAUCUCCGUUUACGGUGCUGCCUUUAUUAACAAUACUCUUGCUAACUAACCACUUUGGAUGGCCAGAAAGAGAGGAAUGCUUUCUUUUGGUGGGCAGAAAUAUCUAGGCGAGUUCGCCAUAUUUGGUGCAGAGUAACUGCCAUAAAUGGCCCUAGGAUUUACAAAGGACAUCUUGAUUUAUUCCCGUGGGAUGCGGCUUGUUAUUUGUUUUAUUAGGUGUGUAGGAAGUAUUAACUUUGUGUUUGAGUUCUAUCCAAGCAUAUCUGUAAAAGGCAAGCAAAGAAAGUCAAGGUGCAAAUCGUGACCUUGUUGCUUUUUAAUGCCCGUUGUGCACAGGAGGCAGAGCUUAGACCGCAAUGUGUAAAGAGGGCGGAAUAUGACCUAGAAGACGGAGAUAUAUGCAGGAACAGUUUCCUGGCACAAAGGACAGAAGCAUAUUUUAAGUCCGCAAGGAAAUAACAUUUUGAAGAAGCUCAGGCAGAGUGUUCCCUAAUUCACUGAAGUAAAAGCUCCAGCAUAAUCAGACGUGCAAAAUUCUG